UAGUCCACGCCGUAAACGAUGUCUACUAGCCGUUGGGAGACUUGAUUUCUUAGUGGCGCAGCUAACGCACUAAGUAGACCGCCUGGGGAGUACGGCCGCAAGGUUAAAACUCAAAUGAAUUGGACGGGGGCCCGCACAAGCGGUGGAGCAUGUGGUUUAAUUCGAUGCAACGCGAAGAACCUUACCAGGUCUUGACAUCCUGCGAAUUUUCUAGAGAUAGAUUAGUGCCUUUCGGGAACGCAGUGACAGGUGCUGCAUGGCUGUCGUCAGCUCGUGUCGUGAGAUGUUGGGUUAAGUCCCGUAACGAGCGCAACCCUUGUCCUUAGUUGCCAGCGAGUAAUGUCGGGAACUCUAAGGAGACUGCCCGGUGACAAACCGGNGGAAGGUGGGGACGACGUCAAGUCCUCAUGGCCUUUAUGACCAGGGCUACACACGUACUACAAUGGCAUAAACAAUGGGCAGCGACUUAGCGAUAAGGAGCGAAUCCUCAAAUUAUGUCUCAGUCCGGAUUGG
rnacentral:rRNA from 1 species